AACUGAGGCUGGAGCCUGCACUGCUGUCGCACCGGGUCUCUGCAGGUCUUACAUGUAGCUUAGUGAAGUCUGCAGAAACCCUGUGACAGCAAUACCAGGUUCCUCUGAUCCCUGAACCUGAUCGCAGAAACCAGGUUCCUGUGAUCCCUGAACCUGAUCGCAGAAACCAGGUUCCUGUGAUCCCUGAACCUGAUUGCAGAAACCAGGUUCCUUGUUUACAUGAUGUUUAAGAAAUCAGAUUACUGGAGAAAGACGACUGU